GUGGCUGUAGCUCAGUUGGUUAGAGCGUCGGAUUGUGAUUCCGAAGGUCGGGGGUUCGAGACCCCUCAGCCACCC
rnacentral:tRNA from 4 species